rnacentral:rRNA from 1 species
GAUGAACGCUGGCGGCGUGCCUAAUACAUGCAAGUCGAGCGAACGGACGAGAAGCUUGCUUCUCUGAUGUUAGCGGCGGACGGGUGAGUAACACGUGGAUAACCUACCUAUAAGACUGGGAUAACUUCGGGAAACCGUAGCUAAUACCGGAUAAUAUUUUGAACCUCAUGGUUCAAAAGUGAAAGACGGUCUUGCUGUCACUAAUAGAUGGAUCCGCGCUGCAUUAGCUAGUUGGUAAGGUAACGGCUUACCAAGGCAACGAUGCAUAGCCGACCUGAGAGGGUCAUCGGACAGACGGGCACUGAGACACGGCCCAGACUCCUACGGGAAGCCGCAGUAGGGACUCUUCCGCGAGGGGCGAGAGCCUGACGGUGCAAAGCCGCCGGAGGGAUGAUGGACCUCGGAUCGUAAAGCUCUGUUAUUAGUGAAGAACAAAUGUGCAAGUAACCGUGCUCAUCUUGACGGUACCUAAUCAGAAAGCUCCGGCUAACUACGUG